AUUGAACGCUGGCGGCAGGCUUAACACAUGCAAGUCGAGCGGGGAAGGGUAGCUUGCUACCUAACCUAGCGGCGGACGGGUGAGUAAUGCUUAGGAAUCUGCCUAUUAGUGGGGGACAACAUUCCGAAAGGAAUGCUAAUACCGCAUACGCCCUACGGGGGAAAGCAGGGGAUCUUCGGACCUUGCGCUAAUAGAUGAGCCUAAGUCAGAUUAGCUAGUUGGUGGGGUAAAGGCCUACCAAGGCGACGAUCUGUAGCGGGUCUGAGAGGAUGAUCCGCAACACUGGGACUGAGACACGACCCAGACUCCUACGGGAGGCAGCAGUGGGGAAUAUUGGACAAUGGGCGAAAGCCUGAUCCAGCCAUGCCGCGUGUGUGAAGAAGGCCUUUUGGUUGUAAAGCACUUUAAGCGAGGAUGAGGCUACUGGUAUUAAUACUACCGGAUAGUGGACGUUACUCGCAGAAUAAGCACCGGCUAACUCUGUGCCAGCCGCCGCCGUAA
rnacentral:rRNA from 1 species